GAUGAAGAACGCAGCGAAAUGCGAUAAGUAAUGUGAAUUGCAGAAUUCAGUGAAUCAUCGAAUCUUUGAACGCACAUUGCGCCCCUUGGUAUUCCGAGGGGCAUGCCUGUUCGAACGUCAUAUUAACCACUCCCGCUUGCGGGGUCUUGGGCUUCGCCUCCGGGCGGGCCUUAAAAUCAGUGGCGGUGCCGUCGGGCUCUACGCGUAGUAAAUUUUCUCGCGAUAGGGUCCCGGUGGAUGCUUGCCAACAACCCCCAACUUCUUAAGGUUGACCUCGGAUCAGGUAGGGAUACCCGCUGAACUUAAGCAUAUCAAUAAGCGGAGGA
rnacentral:misc_RNA from 1 species